rnacentral:rRNA from 1 species
CCUACGGGUGGCAGCAGUGAGGAAUAUUGGUCAAUGGGCGGGAGCCUGAACCAGCCAAGUCGCGUGAGGGAAGACGGUCCUAUGGAUUGUAAACCUCUUUAGGCGGGGAGCAAUGCCGGGCACGCGUGCCCGGAGGGAGAGUACCCGCAGAAUAAGGAUCGGCUAACUCCGUGCCAGCAGCCGCGGUAAUACGGAGGAUCCGAGCGUUAUCCGGAUUUAUUGGGUUUAAAGGGAGCGUAGGUGGAUUGUUAAGUCAGUUGUGAAAGUUUGCGGCUCAACCGUAAAAUUGCAGUUGAAACUGGCAGUCUUGAGUACAGUAGAGGUGGGCGGAAUUCGUGGUGUAGCGGUGAAAUGCUUAGAUAUCACGAAGAACUCCGAUUGCGAAGGCAGCGUACCGGCGCCCAACUGACGCUGAAGCACGAAGGCGUGGGUAUCGAACAGGAUUAGAUACCCCAGUAGUC